GGUCCACUGCAGUGUGGAAGACUAGUGAUUUUGUUGUUGUUCUUUAAGCAGACAACAAAUCCCAGUCUCUCCCACAGCGCUGAGACC
rnacentral:pre_miRNA from 1 species